CACGUAGGGGGCAAGCGUUGUCCGGAUUUAUUGGGCGUAAAGAGCUCGUAGGUGGUUCGGUAAGUCAGGUGUGAAACCUCCAGGCUCAACCUGGAGACGCCACUUGAUACUGCUGUGACUGGAGUCCGGUAGGGGAGCGUGGAAUUCCUGGUGUAGCGGUGAAAUGCGCAGAUAUCAGGAGGAACACCAGCGGCGAAGGCGGCGCUCUGGGCCGGUACUGACGCUGAGACGCGAAAGCUAGGGGAGCAAACAGG
rnacentral:rRNA from 1 species